CAAACUCACACUGUUUGCGGAUGACGUGUUACUAACGUUGGAGCAACCACAUAUUUCCCUGCCAAACUUUCAUUCUGUCCUAUCCCAAUACAGCAAAUGCUCACACUAUAAGUUAAAUGUGACAAAAACCCAAGCAAUGGGCAUAAAUAUUCCCACUGACACAUUAGAGAGCUUACGCAACUCCUUUAACUAUGACUGGAGAACCGACUAUCUAAAAUUCCUAGGAAUUAACAUCACACAGAAGCCAGCCCUACUGUGUAAAACAAACUACCAAAAAACAUUGUCCGAUAUAAAAACAGUGCUACAGGAUGGAAAGGUAAAUACAUCUCGUGGUCAGGCAGAAUAGCUGCGAUCAAAAUGAUUGUUUUACCGAAACUACAAUAUUUAUUCAGAACACUGCCAAUAAAAUUAC